UACGUAGGGGGCAAGCGUUGUUCGGAUUUACUGGGCGUAAAGGGCGCGUAGGCGGCCACCGCAAGUCGACUGUGAAAUCUCCGGGCUUACCCGGAAAGGUCAGCCGAUACUGCGGGGCUAGAGUGCAGAAGGGGCAACUGGAAUUCUCGGUGUAGCGGUGAAAUGCGUAGAUAUCGAGAGGAACACCUGCGGCGAAGGCGGGUUGCUGGGCUGACACUGACGCUGAGGCGCGAAAGCUAGGGGAGCGAACGGG
rnacentral:rRNA from 1 species